rnacentral:lncRNA from 1 species
AUUGCAGCUCUAAAUAUACUUUCUUCUCCUUUUUCUUCUUCCAGCAGAGGAAGGACCUGAAGUUGGGGCUGGCUGAGGUGAAGGGCACAUGGAAGUGGCUCAUUCAGCUGCAAUCUGUACGCUGUGCACAGUGAGGGGUGAGAUGGACUUGAUGGAAGCAGCCCCAUCUUGGGAAGAGGUUGAUUAGAAAAAUGGCAUGAAGUUGUAAUUUAUCAUCAGCUCUGGAUAUAUUCUGGGGAGUCCCCUCUCGUGAUUGGGAUUAAAUUAUGUGUGGUGUUAAUGCAGAGUCUUCUGCAACAAUGUAAAUGAGUUGUUAACAUGGCACUUCACAGCCAUAAUAAUUCAAAGCUGGUAGCAGGCUUGAUGGGUCUGCAAUAAAUGUUUUAUUAUUUAGGAAAAAUAUACUAUACAAGUUGCAAUGUGCCAUGCUCAUUCAUGCUGUAAAUCAACAAAGAUCAGCAGACUGAAUAGAAAAAUGAAAAGCUUAUUUAGGAACUGACACAAGCUUUCAGAUGAGCAGGGAUGGCUGAAGUUAACUGCAUUCAUUUUUCUUUGCUUGUCACAGUUGCCACUUGAAUUUCACUGCUAAAGAUUGUGGAUAGUUUUGCUUUAUGAAAUUAUAUCUACAGAAACAGUAUUUGCAUUUAUAUAGGCUUAGUUAUAAUAAAGUUUAAGCUUAACACACCCCCUUGCCUUUGCAAACAAACAAACCGAUCAGCCAACCAGAAACCCCUGUUAAAAUAAUAUUUAUCCCUUGGUUUUUGUAGAUCUGAAUAGGAUUCUGCUAAAUGGGUCCCACUGACUGCUGUAAAGACCUAAAACUGGUGAGCACGUGAAGUGCAGGAAUGCGAAGCUAUGGCCUCCCCUCCAGCUUCAGCUUUGCUUUAAGGCUACCUCUGUCCUCACAUGAAUUAAAAACAAAGCUCUCUUAAAAAUGUGGUUGAAGAAAAAGCAUUAUGCAUUAAGACAAAAAGGUUGCCUAAGAAAAUGUAUUCAUGACCCAGAAGAAUGUAUAAUUGAUGUGUGUGGUUGUCUGGAUGGAGGAAUAACAAUAGCAACCAUUAGCGACGAGAGCUGGAACAAGUCAGGCAGUGAGGCAGGAUGUGUUUUAUAG